ACGGGGGCCGCACAAGCGGUGGAGCAUGUGGUUUAAUUCGAAGCAACGCGAAGAACCUUACCAGGUCUUGACAUCCCCUGACAACCCGAGAGAUCGGGCGUUCCCCUUCGGGGGACAGGGUGACAGGUGGUGCAUGGUUGUCGUCAGCUCGUGUCGUGAGAUGUUGGGUUAAGUCCCGCAACGAGCGCAACCCUCGACCUUAGUUGCCAGCAUUCAGUUGGGCACUCUAAGGUGACUGCCGGCUAAAAGUCGGAGGAAGGUGGGGAUGACGUCAAGUCCUCAUGGCCCUUAUAGGUGGGGCUACACACGUCAUACAAUGGCCGGUACAGAGGGUAGCCAACCCGCGAGGGGGAGCCAAUCCCACAAAGCCGGUCGUAGUCCGGAUCGCAGUCUGCAACUCGACUGCGUGAAGUCGGAAUCGCUAGUAAUCGCGGAUCAGCAUGUCGCGGUGAAUACGUUCCCGGGUCUU
rnacentral:rRNA from 1 species